UACGUAGGGCGCAAGCGUUGUCCGGAAUUAUUGGGCGUAAAGAGCUCGUAGGCGGUCUGUUACGUCCGCUGUGAAAACCCAGGGCUUAACCCUGGGCUUGCAGUGGAUACGGGUAGACUAGAGGCAGGUAGGGGAGAAUGGAAUUCCCGGUGUAGCGGUGAAAUGCGUAGAGAUCGGCAGGAACACCCAGGGGGAAACCAGCCGACUGGGCAUCUGCUGACGCUGAUGUGCGAGAGCGUGGGGAGCGAACCGG
rnacentral:rRNA from 1 species